rnacentral:rRNA from 1 species
UCCGUAGGUGAACCUGCGGAAGGAUCAUUACUGAGUGCGGGCUGCCUCCGGGCGCCCAACCUCCCACCCGUGAAUACCUAACACUGUUGCUUCGGCGGGGAACCCCCUCGGGGGCGAGCCGCCGGGGACUACUGAACUUCAUGCCUGAAAGUGAUGCAGUCUGAGUCUGAAUAUAAAAUCAGUCAAAACUUUCAACAAUGGAUCUCUUGGUUCCGGCAUCGAUGAAGAACGCAGCGAACUGCGAUAAGUAAUGUGAAUUGCAGAAUUCAGUGAAUCAUCGAGUCUUUGAACGCACAUUGCGCCCCCUGGCAUUCCGGGGGGCAUGCCUGUCCGAGCGUCAUUGCUGCCCAUCAAGCCCGGCUUGUGUGUUGGGUCGUCGUCCCCCCCGGGGGACGGGCCCGAAAGGCAGCGGCGGCACCGUGUCCGGUCCUCGAGCGUAUGGGGCUUUGUCACCCGCUCGACUAGGGCCGGCCGGGCGCCAGCCGACGUCUCCAACCAUUUUUCUUCAGGUUGACCUCGGAUCAGGUAGGGAUACCCGCUGAACUUAAGCAUAUCAAUAAGCGGAGGAAGAAUACCCGCUGAACUUAAGCAUAUCAAUAAGCGGAGGA